rnacentral:rRNA from 1 species
CCUACGGGAGGCUGCAGUGGGGAAUAUUGGGCAAUGGGCGCAAGCCUGACCCAGCAACGCCGCGUGAAGGAAGAAGGCUUUCGGGUUGUAAACUUCUUUUCUCAGGGACGAAGAAAGUGACGGUACCUGAGGAAUAAGCCACGGCUAACUACGUGCCAGCAGCCGCGGUAAUACGUAGGUGGCAAGCGUUAUCCGGAUUUACUGGGUGUAAAGGGCGUGUAGGCGGGAAUGCAAGUCAGAUGUGAAAACCAUGGGCUCAACCUGUGGCCUGCAUUUGAAACUGUAUUUCUUGAGUACUGGAGAGGCAGACGGAAUUCCUAGUGUAGCGGUGAAAUGCGUAGAUAUUAGGAGGAACACCAGUGGCGAAGGCGGUCUGCUGGACAGCAACUGACGCUGAGGCGCGAAAGCGUGGGGAGCAAACAGGAUUAGAUACCCUAGUAGUCC